GGAGAGGUGACCGAGUGGUUUAUGGUGCUGCUCUCGAAAAGCAGUGUGGCGUUAGCCACCGUAGGUUCGAAUCCUACCCUCUCCG
rnacentral:tRNA from 1 species